UACGGGGGGAGCAAGCGUUAUCCGGAUUUACUGGGCGUAAAGCGCGUGCAGGUGGUUCGGCAAGUUGGAUGUGAAAGCUCCUGGCUCAACUGGGAGAGGUCGUUCAAAACUACCGGACUUGAGAGCAGUAGAGGGAGGUGGAAUUCCCGGUGUAGUGGUGAAAUGCGUAGAUAUCGGGAGGAACACCAGUGGCGAAAGCGGCCUCCUGGACUGUUUCUGACACUCAGACGCGAAAGCUAGGGUAGCAAACGGG
rnacentral:rRNA from 1 species